CUGCGAGUUCGCGGGAGAGUAAGUUAUUGCCAGGGUUUUUAUUUUAUACUUUAAACAUUGAUUUUAUUUUUUAUGUUUUUAGAUGUUCAUGUUUUUGAAUGUUUUAUUCAAAUAAUAUAAAAAAUAAAAUAUAUAUUGACAUGGAUUAAACAAAGAUAUAUAUUAUUCUAUGUUGCAUAAACAAAUUGGCAAAAUAGAGAUGGAAGAUAAAAAUAUGGUCAAAGUAAUAAGAGUCUAUGGUGAAUGCCUAGGA
rnacentral:misc_RNA from 1 species